rnacentral:lncRNA from 1 species
GUACUUCGAACCUCCUUUCAACUGAGCGAAAAGAGUGUUUGAGUAGAGCGGAGUUCAGACCAGUGUUCUGACUCCAAGAGAUCUUAGCCAUCCGCUGAAAAGGCAUUGUUGUGUCUUAGCGUGCUAAGAGUGAGCGAGAAAUCCAACCCAGUGUGUUGGUACUGAAAAUCUGAUUUUCAGUUGUAAGGUUUGCUGUGCACCCGUAAGCACUAGCCCAGAGUGUUUGUCAG